UGAUGUUAUCAUACCAGCACCAAUGCACCGUAUCCCAUUAGAACUCUGCAGUUAAGCGUGCUUGGCCGAGAGUAGUACUAGGAUGGGUGACCUCCUGGGAAGUCCUCGUGUUGCACUUU
rnacentral:rRNA from 1 species